rnacentral:rRNA from 1 species
AGUGAACGCUGGCUGUAGGCCUAACACAUGCAAGUCGAACGGCAGCACAGUAAGAGCUUGCUCUUACGGGUGGCGAGUGGCGGACGGGUGCGGAAUACAUCGGAAUCUAUUUUUUCGUGGGGGAUAACGUAGGGAAACUUACGCUAAUACCGCAUACGACCUACGGGUGAAAGCAGGGGAUCUUCGGACCUUUCGCGAUUGAAUGAGCCGAUGUCGGAUUAGCUAGUUGGCGGGGUAAAGGCCCACCAAGGCGACGAUCCGUAGCUGGUCUGAGAGGAUGAUCAGCCACACUGGAACUGAGACACGGUCCAGACUCCUACGGGAGGCAGCAGUGGGGAAUAUUGGACAAUGGGCGCAAGCCUGAUCCAGCCAUACCGCGUGGGUGAAGAAGGCCUUCGGGUUGUAAAGCCCUUUUGUUGGGAAAGAAAAGCAGCAGGUUAAUACCCCGCUGUUCUGACGGUACCCAAAGAAUAAGCACCGGCUAACUUCGUG